CCAAUCACCAAGCAACGCCACAGAAACCACAAAACCCCAGCUCCAUCGUCAGAGUAAUUUCAUCGAACUCCCAGUGGGCAUAGUAAUUCGUGACGAAAAAACAAAUCCAAAACAGAGGAAGCGGACAAAGGGUAUCGAGAACGGACUGAGAUGUAAGAGCAAGCUGGGACGACCAAGGACAUGGAGUUGGUCUUGGUGGGUUGGCAUGCGGAGACGCAGAGGCGUAAAGCCAAGCCCAGCCCUCGCCUCGAGGUGGGAUCGCUCUGCCGCCGUCUCGGAG
rnacentral:lncRNA from 1 species